GAACGCCGUGUGAGGCGAAAGUUUCAUGCACGGUGUGGAGCGGGGGAAAAAUCCGAGGUGGCAACACCAGAGAUUUACCUAUCGCUAU
rnacentral:ncRNA from 1 species